GAUCCUGGCUCAGGAUGAACGCUAGCGGGAGGCCUAACACAUGCAAGCCGAGCGGUAUUGUUUCUCGGAAAUGAGAGAGCGGCGUACGGGUGCGGAACACGUGUGCAACCUGCCUUUAUCUGGGGGAUAGCCUUUCGAAAGGAAGAUUAAUACUCCAUAACAUAUUGAACGGCAUCGUUUGAUAUUGAAAGCUCCGGCGGAUAGAGAUGGGCACGCGCAAGAUUAGCUAGUUGGUGAGGUAACGGCUCACCAAGGCAAUGAUCUUUAGGGGGCCUGAGAGGGUGAUCCCCCACACUGGUACUGAGACACGGUCCAAACUCCUACGGGAGGCAGCAGUGAGGAAUAUUGGUCAAUGGACGAGAGUCUGAACCAGCCAAGUAGCGUGCAGGAUGACGGCCCUAUGGGUUGUAAACUGCUUUUAUAAGGGAAUAAAGUGAGUCUCGUGAGGCUUUUUGCAUGUACCUUAUGAAUAAGGACCGGCUAAUUCCGUG
rnacentral:rRNA from 1 species